UGGCUCUGCUUGUGUUCUUCCACAGCUUUCUUGAACUGCAUGGCAAAACCAGAGAUCUCUGAUGCAGCAGCAGUUCAAUAAAGCUGUGGGAAGAUACCCGCAGAAAGCCA
rnacentral:pre_miRNA from 1 species